AACGAACGCUGGCGGCAUGCCUAACACAUGCAAGUCGAACGAGACCUUCGGGUCUAGUGGCGCACGGGUGCGUAACGCGUGGGAACCUGCCCUUAGGUUCGGAAUAACUCCCCGAAAGGGGUGCUAAUACCGGAUAAUGUCUUCGGACCAAAGAUUUAUCGCCUUUGGAUGGGCCCGCGUUGGUUUAGCUAGUUGGUAGGGUAAAAGCCUACCAAGGCGACGAUCCAUAGCUGGUCUGAGAGGAUGAUCAGCCACACUGGGACUGAGACACGGCCCAGACUCCUACGGGAGGCAGCAGUGGGGAAUAUUGGACAAUCGGCGAAAGCCUGAUCCAGCAAUGCCGCGUGAGUGAUGAAGGCCUUAGGGUUGUAAAGCUCUUUUACCCGGGAUGAUAAUGACAGUACCGGGAGAAUAAGCUCCGGCUAACUCCGUG
rnacentral:rRNA from 1 species